rnacentral:rRNA from 1 species
AUUGAACGCUGGCGGCAGGCCUAACACAUGCAAGUCGAACGGUAACAGGAAGAAGCUUGCUUCUUUGCUGACGAGUGGCGGACGGGUGAGUAAUGUCUGGGAAACUGCCUGAUGGAGGGGGAUAACUACUGGAAACGGUAGCUAAUACCGCAUAACGUCGCAAGACCAAAGAGGGGGACCUUCGGGCCUCUUGCCCUCGGAUGUGCCCAGAUGGGAUUAGCUAGUAGGUGGGGUAACGGCUCACCUAGGCGACGAUCCCUAGCUGGUCUGAGAGGAUGACCAGCCACACUGGAACUGAGACACGGUCCAGACUCCUACGGGAGGCAGCAGUGGGGAAUAUUGCACAAUGGGCGCAAGCCUGAUGCAGCCAUGCCGCGUGUAUGAAGAAGGCCUUCGGGUUGUAAAGUACUUUCAGCGGGGAGGAAGGGAGUAAAGUUAAUACCUUUGCUCAUUGACGUUACCCGCAGAAGAAGCACCGGCUAACUCCGUG